rnacentral:tRNA from 1 species
GGGCCAGUAGCUCAGAUGGUUAGAGCACGCGCCUGAUAAGCGCGAGGUCGGCAGUUCAAUUCUGCCCUGGCCCACCU